ACUGAAUAGAUACCCCGGUAGUCCUAGCUGUAAACGGUGCACGUUUGCUGUAAGAGGAAUCGACCCCUUUUGUGGCGAAAGCUAAACGCGAUAAACGUGCCGCCUGGGGAGUACGGUCGCAAGAUUAAAACUCAAAGAAAUUGACGGGGGCCUGCACAAGCGGUGGAGUAUGUGGCUUAAAUUCGAUGCAACGCGAAGAACCUUACCUGGCCUUGACAUGCACGUAGUAGGAGCCUGAAAGGGUGACGACCUCGCAAGAGGAGCGUGCACAGGUGCUGCAUGGCUGUCGUCAGCUCGUGUCGUGAGAUGUUGGGUUUAAGUCCCGCAACGAGCGCAACCCUUGUGUCCUGUUGCCACCCGGGUCGAGAGACUGGAGCACUCUGGACAGACUGCCUCGCUUAAACGAGGAGGAAGGUGGGGAUGACGUCAAGUCAGGAUGGCCCUUACGGCCAGGGCUGCACACGUACUACAAUGCCCGGCACAAAGGGACGCAAGACCGAUAGGUGGAGCCAAUCCCAAAAAACC
rnacentral:rRNA from 1 species